GUGCUCUGUUUAAGUUCCCCGGUUUUUCUCCUCAGUUGCUGGCGCAUUGGGUCAAGUCGGUUAUGUUUGUGGUUUUGAGUUCCUCACAUUUGUUAUUGCUUGGUUUAUGCACUGUUUGUUUAUAUUUAAUGUCUUCUAGUUUUGUUUUGUUCCCCCCGGUUUUCUGAGUUUCUGGUUGUCCUGGUUCCCUUGUGUUCCUUAUUCCUUGACUGUUUCCCUGGUGUGUUGUCUGCAAUAAAGACGUUCUGCCAUCUCCCUGGACUCUUCACAUGACCGAACGCUCCAGCCACACAUGGAUGCAGAAGAACUUCCACUCUCUGUUGGGAGUGGAUGUUGGCUCUAGAGGUGAAGUGGGGAUACCUUAAGAGUCCCUUCGGCAACAGGAGAGACAUCUCAAUAGACUUGACUAGGAGAGGCUUUUUCAAUUCCAAGCAGUGCUUUGGAAAUGGUCUCAGGGUGGUGGCUGGGUGUUGCUUCAUUACCUGUUCAAGUGUUAUCUGAGGAGAGGACAUAGAGAUGUGAUGGUGCAGAACUUCUGCUGAACAGAUGAGGGAGUGAGGGAGUCUCUGUGCAUUACAAUUAACUAGUGGGGUCCAGACUAUAUGCUCUAUUCUUCUGGAUUCGGUUUCAUGCCAAGGAAGAAGAAAAGAAAAGAAAAGAAAAGUGAAAAACAGAUAAGCAAUUGUUCUACUUCAACAGCUUGGUGCUAUUUAAAGAAUGAUCAUAAAUGUGUCUUUAAUACCAUUGUAUGAAGGGUUAAUCUCACAAUUGUAUAUGGAGCUGAAACAGGUCUGACUCUUAUUACAGCAAAUGGAUUUAUGGUUGAACCCACAGAAGCAUAUCUGCGGUUAUGUAUUUUCCUCUCUAGGGUAAAUUUGAUUAAUGCGCAGGAGCGACCCACAGGACCCAGACAUAUCAGACAGUCAAAUAGAAAUUAGUUUAGCACACUCCAGUAUGGUUCCUUAUUUUAUGUGGAAGUACACUACGAAGCCAGAUCAUCUUACACUCAUUCUGUAGUCUUAUGAAAAGCAUUUUAGGACCACUAUGGAUACAAACUAGCCACAAUUUUUUUUAUUUGAUGUAUGUACUAAUUAUACAGUGUGUAAUGUAUUGUACUUUAUAAGAGGUAGGUUUCUCUUCUUUUUUUUUUCUUACAGAAAUAUAAUUAUGAAUAUAAAAAAGCUCAAUGCCAAAGGCAUCCAUAAAUGUUUAUUCUGAACCUUCA
ensembl:lncRNA